rnacentral:miRNA from 1 species
GGAUAGGUUGAAUUCAUCGU